UCCCUGGUGGUCUUAGUGGCUGAGACUCUGCGCUCCCAAUGCAGGGAGCCUGGGUUCAAUCCCUGGUCAGGAAA
rfam:TPA: Bos taurus chromosome 2, whole genome shotgun sequence.